UACGUAGGGUGCGAGCGUUGUCCGGAAUUACUGGGCGUAAAGGGCUCGUAGGCGGUUUGUCGCGUCGGGAGUGAAAACCAGGUGCUUAACACCUGGCUUGCUUUCGAUACGGGCAGACUAGAGGUAUUCAGGGGAGAACGGAAUUCCUGGUGUAGCGGUGAAAUGCGCAGAUAUCAGGAGGAACACCGGUGGCGAAGGCGGUUCUCUGGGAAUGACCUGACGCUGAGGAGCGAAAGUGUGGGGAGCGAACAGG
rnacentral:rRNA from 1 species